rnacentral:rRNA from 1 species
UACAGGCUUAACACAUGCAAGUCGAGGGGCAGCAUUGGAGUAGCAAUACUCAGAUGGCGACCGGCGCACGGUGAGUAACACGUAUCCAACCUGCCGCUUACUCGGGGAUAGCCUUUCGAAAGAAAGAUUAAUACCCGAUGGUAUAAAGAGUUCGCAUGUUCUCUUUAUUAAAGAAUUUCGGAAGCGAUGGGGAUGCGUUCCAUUAGAUAGUUGGCGGGGUAACGGCCCACCAAGUCUACGAUGGAUAGGGGUUCUGAGAGGAAGGUCCCCCACAUUGGAACUGAGACACGGUCCAAACUCCUACGGGAGGCAGCAGUGAGGAAUAUUGGUCAAUGGACGAGAGUCUGAACCAGCCAAAAGUAGCGUGAAGGAUGACUGCCCUAUGGGUUGUAAACUUCUUUUAUAAGGGAAUAAAGUGAGGGACGUGUCCCUUUUUGUAUGUACCUUAUGAAUAAGGAUCGGCUAACUCCGUGCCAGCCGCCGC